CCUACGGGAGGCAGCAGUGGGGAAUAUUGCACAAUGGGGGAAACCCUGAUGCAGCGACGCCGCGUGAAGGAAGAAGUAUUUCGGUAUGUAAACUUCUAUCAGCAGGGAAGAAAAUGACGGUACCUGACUAAGAAGCCCCGGCUAACUACGUUCCAGCAGCCGCGGUAAUACGUAGGCGGCACGCGUUAUCCGGAUUUAUUGGGUGUAAAGGGAGCGUAGGCGGCGAUGCAAGUCAGAAGUGAAAGCCCGGGGCUCAACUCCGGGACUGCUUUUGAAACUGUAUGGCUAGAUUGCAGGAGAGGCAAGUGGAAUGCAUAGUGUAGCGGUGAAAUGCGUAGAUAUUAGGAGGAACACCAGUGGCGAAGGCGGCUUGCUGGACUGUAAAUGACGCUGAGGCUCGAAAGCGUGGGGAGCAAACAGGAUUAGAUACCCCGGUAGUC
rnacentral:rRNA from 1 species